rnacentral:rRNA from 1 species
GGAGCUUGCUCCCUGAUGUUAGCGGCGGACGGGUGAGUAACACGUGGGUAACCUGCCUGUAAGACUGGGAUAACUCCGGGAAACCGGGGCUAAUACCGGAUGCUUGUUUGAACCGCAUGGUUCAAACAUAAAAGGUGGCUUCGGCUACCACUUACAGAUGGACCCGCGGCGCAUUAGCUAGUUGGUGAGGUAAUGGCUCACCAAGGCAACGAUGCGUAGCCGACCUGAGAGGGUGAUCGGCCACACUGGGACUGAGACACGGCCCAGACUCCUACGGGAGGCAGCAGUAGGGAAUCUUCCGCAAUGGACGAAAGUCUGACGGAGCAACGCCGCGUGAGUGAUGAAGGUUUUCGGAUCGUAAAGCUCUGUUGUUAGGGAAGAACAAGUACCGUUCGAAUAGGGCGGUACCUUGACGGUACCUAACCAGAAAGCCACGGCUAACUACGUGCCAGCAGCCGCGGUAAUACGUAGGUGGCAAGCGUUGUCCGGAAUUAUUGGGCGUAAAGGGCUCGCAGGCGGUUUCUUAAGUCUGAUGUGAAAGCCCCCGGCUCAACCGGGGAGGGUCAUUGGAAACUGGGGAACUUGAGUGCAGAAGAGGAGAGUGGAAUUCCACGUGUAGCGGUGAAAUGCGUAGAGAUGGUGGAGGAACACCAGUGGCGAAGGCGACUCUCUGGUCUGUAACUGACGCUGAGGAGCGAAAGCGUGGGGGAGCGAACAGGAUUAGAUACCCUG